CCGGAAAUAUUCUUGUUCCAGCAUAUAUUUUAUUUUAUUAUUAAAUAAUAUGGUUGACUAAUAUAUAGAACUUCGAUUAGUUAGUGGUAUAUGCAUUUUUGUUGUUCAGUUGGCAUCUUCUUAUGAGGAUGAGAGCUCCAAAGGAAGGUUACUGUGAUCCUAUUGCACCUCUAGAGCUACCACAUUCUUACAUGCAUUUCGUCGUGUCUCUUCAACAGAUGAUCUGAGCAUGGAAAGGUUACCAUACAUUUCGUGGGGGAUUCUGGAAUUACUCCAGCAUGGGAAUGGACGCUCAAGUAUCUCAUGCUUUUCACUCUGAGCGAAAGUUGAAUCCAGAAAAGUUUAAAAACUAGUUUGCUAAUCAGAGCACCUAUGCAAAGCUCGGUUGUACACAAGGCUGAUUUACUGCUUCUGUUUUCCAUCCUUCGGAAACAAAGACUUCACCCUACCUUAUGUAGAUGAUGGCCUUCUCGAAGUUGGUUUUAGAAAUGCUUGGCAUGGACUCGUCUGUCUUGCUCCAAAGGGUCAUGGAACUCGGCUGGCA